rnacentral:lncRNA from 1 species
GGCAACCCGCUUGAGUCCUGUUCCACGCUGUGGAAACUUUGUUUUUUUUUCUUUGCAAUAAAUCUUGCCACUGGCUCACGGUUUGGGUGAGGCACUGCAUUUAUGAGCUAUGACACUCACUGGAAAGGUCUGCAGGUUCACUCCUGAAGUCAGUGAGACCACAAACCCACCGGGAGGAACGAACAAUCUUGGACGCGCCGCCUUUAAGAGCUGUAAGACUCACUGCGAAGGUCUGCGGCUUCACUUCUGAAGUCAGGAAGACCACGAACCCACCAGAAGGAAGAAACUCUGGACACAUCUUAACAUCUGAAGGAACAAACUCUGGACACACCGUCUUUAAGAAUUGUAACACUUGCUGUGAGAGUCUGCAGCUUCAUUCUUGAAGUCAGGGAGACCAAGAACCCACCAGAAGGAACCAGUUCCGGACGCACUUCCAGCCAGAUGAGUGGCUCUGCAGACUUCCAAAGGAGCCGCUUUCUGUGCAAGUUGGACCAAGUCUGUUUCUCCUGUCCAUGAGGAUAAGGGUCCUGGAUAUCCUAGGUCGCCUGGUGGAGGGGCCCUCGGGAAUCCAACGAUCACCACUGCAAGUCAGCCUCAGCACCAGCACUCAGUACUCAUCAGCUGGACAAAGAGCUUCUCUGAGUUUCAGUUUCCAGAUCUGCAAAAUAGGUGUAACAAUCCCUGUGUCUGAGCAUCUGCAGGGAGAUCAAAUUCUCGUCUCUGGAACAUGACAGCUUCCAAAUCUGAGCCAUCCUGUCACUUCUCUUGGGUCAAUUGGGGUUUCCACGAUGUCACCCCAUCAGACUGUCACUAACAUGGCCUGAGAGCCCUGGGCUCGGGGACUGCCAGCAUGGUAGGUUUCCCUCCCCGUACUCCUGCCGUUACUUCCCUGAUGAGACCAUCCCCCAGAGAAGGGAAAGGAGGGCAGUUUCGUUCAUUUAGUGCAGAGCCUGGGAGGUGGGAGGAGCCUGGGCUAGCUUCAUUUUUUUGAGGUUCUUGGUAUGCUACAGAUGAGAAGGUUGCAGUGAUUGUGGUAUAAUUUCAGUGUUCUCACAACAAAUUAGAACACAGCAUACUUGUGGUGUUGACAGGACAACUGCAGAACUCAGUACAUUUCCUGGGGAGUUCUGAGUGGUGCAGUCUUAGGGCAGGAUACAAGCUUUGGGUCUCAGGAUGGCUGUCCACUUCUGCUGGAUCUGGGGUGCACCCUUACAGUCUGAAUUUCUAGAAAAAGGCAUAAUCAAACCCCCUGCAGAACUUUCACGGGAUCCCAUUCAAAUAAAACAGGGUGGAGGGACACGUUGAGAUGUUUGGAAAUAUCUGAAUAAGGGUGGGAUAUGGGGUUAUUUUAGGGAAUUCAUUGUUCAUAGGGAAUUCACUGUUCAUUGUCCCAGCCGUGAUAGCAUGGAAGAACAGCCCAAAGGGUCAUAAGAUAGUUCAGGAAAGAGCUUUACAAGUCAAAGUGACAGAGCAGCAGGUCCCCAACACUUUUGACACCAGGGACCAGGUUUAGUGGAAGACAAUUUCUCCAUGGACUGGAAUCAGGCUGGGGGUGGUUUUGAGAUGAUUCAAGCACAUUACAUUUAUUGUGCACUUUAAUUCUAUUAUUAUUAACUUGUAAUAUAUAAUGAAAUAUUAUACAACUCACCAUAAUGUAGAUCAGUGGGAGCCCUGAGCUUGUUUUCCUGCAACUAGACAGUCCCAUCUGGAGGUGAUGGAAGACAGUGACAGAUCAUCAGGCAUUAGAUUCUCAUAAGGAGCACGGAACCUAGAUCCCUCGCACACACAGUUCACGGUACGGCUCACGCUCCUAUGAGAAUUCAGUGCUGCUGCUGAUGUGACAGGAGGUGGAGCUUAGGUGGUAACGUGAGCAAUGGGGAGCAGCUGUAAAUACAGAUGAGGCUUCACUCGCUCACCAGCCUGCUCCGUGAGGUUGGGGACCCGUCAGAUACAGCAUUUAUGACCACAUGAUAACCACAGCUGAAUCCAGGUGGUGGGAUACACAGCUGCUUCAUUGUACCAAUCUCAACUUUUUCAUGUAUUUGAAAUUUUUCAUUAGAAGAGAGUAAAUUUUUUGG